rnacentral:tRNA from 1 species
GCCUGGCUGGCUCAGUUGGUAGAGCAUGCGACUCUUGAUCUCAGGGUUGUAGGUUUGAGCCCCAUGUUGGGUA